AUCCUACUCCCUCCGUUCGGAAAUACUUGUCAGAAAAAUGGAUAAAAAUGGAUGUAUCUAGAACUAAAAUACAUCUAGAUACAUCUAUUUCUAUGACAAGUAUUUUUGGACGGAGGGAGUACUUA
rnacentral:pre_miRNA from 1 species